rnacentral:rRNA from 1 species
UACGAAGGGGGCUAGCGUUGCUCGGAAUCACUGGGCGUAAAGCGCACGUAGGCGGAUUGUUAAGUCAGGGGUGAAAUCCUGGAGCUCAACUCCAGAACUGCCUUUGAUACUGGCGAUCUUGAGUCCGGGAGAGGUGAGUGGAACUCCGAGUGUAGAGGUGAAAUUCGUAGAUAUUCGCAAGAACACCAGUGGCGAAGGCGGCUCACUGGCCCGGUACUGACGCUGAGGCACGAAAGCUAGGGGAGCAAAUGGG